rnacentral:rRNA from 1 species
AGCGAACGCUGGCGGCAGGCUUAACACAUGCAAGUCGAGCGGGCACUUUCGGGUGUCCGCGGCGGACGGGUGAGUAACGCGUGGGAACGUGCCCUCUGGUUCGGAAUAACUCAGGGAAACUUGAGCUAAUACCGGAUACGCCCUUUUGGGGAAAGGCUUGCUGCCGGAGGAUCGGCCCGCGUCUGAUUAGCUAGUUGGUGAGGUAACGGCUCACCAAGGCGACGAUCAGUAGCUGGUCUGAGAGGAUGAUCAGCCACACUGGGACUGAGACACGGCCCAGACUCCUAAGAGAGGCAGCAGUGGGGAAUAUUGGACAAUGGGCGCAAGCCUGAUCCAGCCAUGCCGCGUGAGUGAUGAAGGCCUUAGGGUUGUAAAGCUCUUUUAUCCGGGACGAUAAUGACGGUACCGGAGGAAUAAGCCCCGGCUAACUUC